rnacentral:tRNA from 1 species
GGGCGCAUAGCUCAGCUGGUUAGAGCGCCGUCUUUACACGGCGGAAGUCCUUGGUUCGAAUCCAAGUGCGCCCA